rnacentral:rRNA from 1 species
GUGGUCCUACGGGAGGCAGCAGUGAGGAAUAUUGGUCAAUGGGCGAGAGCCUGAACCAGCCAAGUCGCGUGAAGGAUGACGGCCCUAUGGGUUGUAAACUUCUUUUGUCAGGGAGCAAUUGGGUCCACGUGUGGGCUUAGCGAGAGUACCUGAAGAAAAAGCAUCGGCUAACUCCGUGCCAGCAGCCGCGGUAAUACGGAGGAUGCGAGCGUUAUCCGGAUUUAUUGGGUUUAAAGGGUGCGUAGGUGGUUAAUUAAGUCAGCGGUGAAAGUUUGUGGCUCAACCAUAAAAUUGCCGUUGAAACU